rnacentral:rRNA from 1 species
GCAUAUAACUAGGCGGAGGAAAGGAAAUUAACGAAGAUUUCCCUAGUAACGGCGAGUGAAAAGGAAAUAGUUCAGCGCUGAAUCCCUUAGCCCAUGGUUAAGGGACCUGUGGCGUGAAGGAGAGCCUAUCUGUCGGGUUAUAAGCUUCGGAAUAUCCCUCGAAUGGGAACCCAAAGCAGGUGCGAGGCCUGUAACGAGGUGAUACCCGUCAGUUUGCGCCUCCGUAGAGUCGGGUUACUUGAGAGUGUAGCCCAAAGUGGAAGGUAAACCCCUUCUAAAACUAAAUAUUACCACGAGACCGAUAGCGAACAAGUACCGCGAGGGAAAGUUGAAAAGAACUUUGAAGAGAGAGUUCAAAAGGGCGUGAAACCGCUUAGAAGAAAACGGACGGAGCCGUCGGGAGCCUUCGGGAAUCAGUCGAUCGAUGCGCGAAUAUAUCGCGGUUCGGAGCGCAAGUCCGACCGCGGUAGUAAAUAGUAGCGUUCGUUCGGCGCAUUUCUCGAAGGUAAGCACCGCGACCGAUACGAAAGGCCAGCGAAGCGUUUGGAUUGAGGGCGAGUCCUCUCGCGGGGACUCGUAACCAGUCUAUUCGUGCAUAGUCGUUGGACCGCAGUAUGUAUCGAGCGCCAGAGUUCGAGUACGUCGGCGUAAAAGCUCGCUCGAGUAACGGAUAGUUGGUCAAUAGUGUUGGUCUCUGCUCGCAGGUGCCGAUCUACUCGAUUCGACUAAGAAGUUAUCGGCGACAUACGACGUAUUGGCGUCCGCGGUGUCAGUGUCGGUCACCCGUCCGACCCGUCUUGAAACACGGACCAAGGAGUCUAACAUAUGCGCGAGCUAAUGGGUGGAAAACCCAAAGGCGCAAUAAAAGUAAACGCUGUUUCGGACAGCUAAGGUACGAUCCUAGAAUCCGAGCGAUUUUGGGCGCAGUACCGUCCCGUCCCGACCGCAUAUCGGUAGGGCGGAGAUAGAGUGCAUACGUUGGGACCCGAAAGAUGGUGAACUAUGUCUGAGCAGAGCGAAGCCAGAGGAAACUCUGGUGGAGGUUCGUAGCGGUUCUGACGUGCAAAUCGAUCGUCAGACUUGGGUAUAGGGGCGAAAGACUAAUCGAACCAUC